rnacentral:rRNA from 1 species
GAUGAACGCUGGCGGCGUGUCUAAUACAUGCAAGUCGAGCGAACGGACGAGAAGCUUGCUUCUCUGAUGUUAGCGGCGGACGGGUGAGUAACACGUGGAUAACCUACCUAUAGACUGGGAUAACUUCGGGAAACCGUAGCUAAUACCGGAUAAUAUUUUGAACCGCAUGGUUCAAAAGUGAAAGACGGUCUUGCUGUCACUUAUAGAUGGAUCCGCGCUGCAUUAGCUAGUUGGUAAGGUAACGGCUUACCAAGGCAACGAUGCAUAGCCGACCUGAGAGGGUGAUCGGCCACACUGGAACUGAGACACGGUCCAGACUCCUACGGGAGGCAGCAGUAGGGAAUCUUCCGCAAUGGGCGAAAGCCUGACGGAGCAACGCCGCGUGAGUGAUGAAGGUCUUCGGAUCGUAAAACUCUGUUAUUAGGGAAGAACAUAUGUGUAAGUAACUGUGCACAUCUUGACGGUACCUAAUCAGAAAGCCACGGCUAACUACGUG